rnacentral:tRNA from 1 species
GGGGGGAUGGCGGAAUCGGCAGACGCGCGUGCCUUAGGAGCACGUACCGCAAGGUGUGAGGGUUCGAGUCCCUCUUCCCCCACGA